UACGUAGGGCGCAAGCGUUGUCCGGAAUUAUUGGGCGUAAAGAGCUCGUAGGCGGUUUGUUGCGUCGGCUGUGAAAACCCGGGGCUCAACCCCGGGCCUGCAGCCGAUACGGGCAGACUAGAGUUCGGCAGGGGAGACUGGAAUUCCUGGUGUAGCGGUGAAAUGCGCAGAUAUCAGGAGGAACACCGGUGGCGAAGGCGGGUCUCUGGGCCGAUACUGACGCUGAGGAGCGAAAGCGUGGGGAGCGAACAGG
rnacentral:rRNA from 1 species